rnacentral:rRNA from 1 species
UACGGGGGGGGCAAGCGUUGUUCGGAAUUACUGGGCGUAAAGGGUUCGUAGGUGGCCAACUCAGUCAGACGUGAAAUCCCUCGGCUUAACCGGGGAACUGCGUCUGAUACUGGGUGGCUUGAAUCCGGGAGAGGGAUGCGGAAUUCCAGGUGUAGCGGUGAAAUGCGUAGAUAUCUGGAGGAACACCGGUGGCGAAGGCGGCAUCCUGGACCGGUAUUGACGCUGAGGAGCGAAAGCCAGGGGAGCAAAGCGGG